GCCAGAGUGGUAUAGUGGUUUGAGCAUUAGAUAAUGCCUCUAGAGACCAGGGUUUGAAUCCCUGCUCAGCCA